rnacentral:rRNA from 1 species
CCUACGGGAGGCAGCAGUAGGGAAUCUUCCACAAUGGGCGAAAGCCUGAUGGAGCAACGCCGCGUGGGUGAAGAAGGUCUUCGGAUCGUAAAACCCUGUUGUUAGAGAAGAAAGUGCGUGAGAGUAACUGUUCACGUUUCGAUGGUAUCUAACCAGAAAGCCACGGCUAACUACGUGCCAGCAGCCGCGGUGAUACGUAGGUGGCAAGCGUUAUCCGGGUUGAUUGGGCGUAAAGGGAACGCAGGCGGGCUUUUAAGUCUGAUGUGAAAUUCUUCGGCUUAACCGGAGUAGUGCAUUGGAAACUGGGAGACUUGAGUGCAGAAGAGGAGAGUGGAACGCCAUGUGUAGCGGUGAAAUGCGUAGAUAUAUGGAAGAACACCAGUGGCGAAGGCGGCUCUCUGGUCUGUAACUGACGCUGAGGUUCGAAAGCGUGGGUAGCAAACAGGAUUAGAUACCCGAGUAGUC